GACGAACCGUGCGAACGUUGUUCGGAAUCACUGGGCUUAAAGGGCGCGUAGGCGGGCCGGCCGGUCCGCGGUGAAAUCCCCCCGCUCAACGGGGGAACGGCCGCGGAUACCGCCGGCCUCGAGGGGGGUAGGGGCGAGCGGAACGCUGGGUGGAGCGGUGAAAUGCGUUGAUAUCGGAAGGAACGCCGGUGGCGAAAGCGACGUGCUGGACACCUUCUGACGCUGAGGCGCGAAAGCCAGGGGAGCAAACGGG
rnacentral:rRNA from 1 species